GUUGUGAGGUAAUUUAUCUAAAAUUUACAAUUUAACUGUUUUUUUUUAGAGAUAGGCAGCACGCUACUUACUUUAUUUAUUUCAUUAGAAAUAAACUUAGUUGAAAAUAUGAAUCAACUAGAAUUCGAACUUGGGUCUCGGAUAUCAACCACCAAAUUCUUUGCCAUUUACUUUAGGGAUGAUCAGUUACAAUUUAACUGCUAAAUCUUGGAAAAGUACAGUAGCCACAGUUUCUCAACUAUGGAUGUCAAUGGGUAUGGAUACCCGAAAUUUUAUCCGAAUCCGAACCCGAAUGAAACGGAUAUAUUCGAUGGAUAUGGAUAUGGAUUUUGAUUGUACCCGAUCCUAACCCGAACCCGACCUGAACCCCAAUUUAUUUUGUAUUAUAUAUAAUAUAUAUAUAAAAAUUUGAUGUUAUAUUUGAAUUUGUAUUUUAAAAAUUUAAAUUUAAUAUAAUAUAUUUUGAAAUAUUGAAAAAAAGAAAUAAUUAUUUUGGAUUCAAAUUUUCGGGUUUGGGUUCGGGUUCGGGUUUCGGAUUUUUGGUCGGGUUCGGGUUUGGAUAUGGAUUUUUAAAAUCCGUCGGGUUUAGGUUCGGGUUCGGGUCUCGGGUUUGGAGUCGAGUUCGGGUUCGGAUUUUUAAAAAUCCGCCCCGAAUCCGAUCCGUUGACAUCU
rnacentral:lncRNA from 1 species